rnacentral:rRNA from 1 species
CCUACGGGGGGCAGCAGUGGGGAAUAUUGGGCAAUGGACGCAAGUCUGACCCAGCAACGCCGCGUGCAGGAAGAAGGCUUUCGGGUUGUAAAGUUCUUUUAAGGGGGAAGAGCAGAUGACGGUGCCCCUUGAAUCAGCCACGGCUAACUCCGUGCCAGCAGCCGCGGUAAUACGGAGGUGGCAAGCGUUGUCCGGAUUUACUGGGGGUAAAGGGCGUGCAGCCGGGGAGAUAAAGCAGAUGUGAAAUCCACGGGCUCAACCCGUGAACUGCAUUUGAAACUGUUUCCCUUGAGUGUCGGAGAGGUAAGCGGAAUUCCUUGUGUAGCGGUGAAAUGCGUAGAUAUAAGGAAGAACACCAGUGGCGAAGGCGGAUUACUGGACGAUAACUGACGGUGAGGCGCGAAAGCGUGGGGAGCAAACAGGAUUAGAUACCCCUGUAGUC